UACGUAGGUGACAAGCGUUGUCCGGAUUUACUGGGCGUAAAGAGCGCGCAGGCGGUCGAUCAAGUCGAGUGUGAAAGCCCCCGGCUCAACUGGGGAGGGUCAUUCGAUACUGAUCGACUCGAAGGCAGGAGAGGGUAGUGGAAUUCCCGGUGUAGUGGUGAAAUGCGUAGAUAUCGUAAGGAAGACCAGCGGCGAAGGCGAGUUCCUGGACAGUUACUGACGCUGAGGCACGAAGGCCAGGGGAGCAAACGGG
rnacentral:rRNA from 1 species